rnacentral:lncRNA from 1 species
UGAAGCAUCAAAGGUCACCAGAGAGAGGUUGGUUAAUCUCACUUAUAGACCCCUUUUCAGAUGAUGGUCGAUAAGUGGGUUUUCCAGCACUAUUUAAAACACCUGGUGCAGAGACAGGCGCAAAGGAGGUUGUAGUCUUGGUUUGAACGACAAUGCUUAUGCCACCCUAAAAUCAAUACGAUCGGAAAUUAUAAAUGGCGAAAGACGGUAAACAAGUUAUGUAAGGUAGAGAGAGGUUUGUUAUACCUUGUCACCUUCGACCCAAGGGCUGGAGUUG